rnacentral:rRNA from 1 species
UACGAAGGGUGCAAGCGUUACUCGGAAUUACUGGGCGUAAAGCGUGCGUUAGGCGGUUCGUUAAGUCUGUCGUGAAAGCCCUGGGCUCAACCUGGGAAUUGCGAUGGAUACUGGCGAGCUAGAGUACGGUAGAGGAUGGUGGAAUUCCCGGUGUAGCGGUGAAAUGCGUAGAGAUCGGGAGGAACACCCGUGGCGAAGGCGGCCAUCUGGACCAGUACUGACGCUGAGGCACGAAAGCGUGGGGAGCAAACAGG